AAUAAAACAGAGUGCCUAGGC
rnacentral:piRNA from 1 species